GCUCGCGUUGACUUCGACAAGAUCGACAGCGCCCCGGAAGAGAAGGCUCGUGGUAUCACCAUCAACACUGCCCACGUAGAGUACGAUUCCAACAUUCGUCACUACGCGCACGUUGACUGCCCGGGUCACGCCGACUACGUGAAGAACAUGAUCACCGGUGCUGCCCAGAUGGACGGUGCGAUCCUGGUCUGCUCGGCUGCCGACGGCCCGAUGCCGCAAACUCGUGAGCACAUCCUGCUGUCCCGUCAGGUUGGCGUACCGUACAUCGUUGUCUUCCUGAACAAGGCUGACAUGGUUGACGACGCUGAGCUGCUGGAGCUGGUCGAGAUGGAAGUUCGCGACCUGCUGAGCACCUACGAUUUCCCGGGUGACGACACUCCGAUCAUCAUCGGCUCGGCGCUGAUGGCUCUGAACGGCCAGGACGACAACGAGAUGGGCACCACUGCCGUCAAGAAGCUCGUCGAGACUCUGGAUACCUAUAUCCCUGAGCCGGUUCGUGCCAUCGACAAGCCGUUCCUGAUGCCGAUCGAAGACGUAUUCUCGAUCUCCGGCCGCGGUACUGUAGUUACCGGUCGUGUAGAGCGCGGUAUCGUCCGUAUCCAGGAAGAAAUCGAAAUCGUUGGUCUGCGUCCGACCACCAAGACCACCUGCACCGGCGUUGAGAUGUUCCGCAAGCUGCUGGACGAAGGUCGUGCUGGUGAGAACUGCGGCGUGCUGCUGCGCGGCACCAAGCGUGAUGAAGUCGAGCGUGGUCAGGUUCUGGCCAAGCCGGGCACCAUCAAGCCGCACACCAAGUUCGAAGCUGAAGUGUACGUUCUGUCCAAAGAAGAAGGUGGUCGUCACACCCCGUUCUUCAAGGGCUACCGUCCUCAGUUCUACUUCCGCACCACUGACGUGACCGGUUCGUGCGAACUGCCGGAAGGCGUUGAGAUGGUAAUGCCGGGCGACAACAUCAAAAUGGUUGUCACCCUGAUCAAGCCGAUCGCCAUGGAAGAUGGCCUGCGUUUCGCGAGGCGAGGCAGAAAUGCGUAGUCGAUGGGAAACGGGUUAAUAUUCCCGUACUUCUAGUUACUGCGAUGGAGGGACGGAGAAGGCUAGGCCAGCACGGCGUUGGUUGUCCGUGUUUAAGGUGGUAGGCUGAGAUCUUAGGUAAAUCCGGGAUCUUAAGGCCGAGAGCUGAUGACGAGCGUUCUUUUAGAAUGCGAAGUGGUUGAUGCCAUGCUUCCAGGAAAAGCUUCUAAGCUUCAGGUAACUAGGAACCGUACCCCAAACCGACACAGGUGGUUAGGUAGAGAAUACCAAGGCGCUUGAGAGAACUCGGGUGAAGGAACUAGGCAAAAUGGCACCGUAACUUCGGGAGAAGGUGCGCCGGUGAGGGUGAAGUAUUUACUACGUAAGCCCAUGCCGGUCGAAGAUACCAGGCCGCUGCGACUGUUUAUUAAAAACACAGCACUCUGCAAACACGAAAGUGGACGUAUAGGGUGUGACGCCUGCCCGGUGCCGGAAGGUUAAUUGAUGGGGUUAGCGCAAGCGAAGCUCUUGAUCGAAGCCCCGGUAAACGGCGGCCGUAACUAUAACGGUCCUAAGGUAGCGAAAUUCCUUGUCGGGUAAGUUCCGACCUGCACGAAUGGCGUAACGAUGGCGGCGCUGUCUCCACCCGAGACUCAGUGAAAUUGAAAUCGCUGUGAAGAUGCAGUGUAUCCGCGGCUAGACGGAAAGACCCCGUGAACCUUUACUAUAGCUUUGCACUGGACUUUGAGCUUGCUUGUGUAGGAUAGGUGGGAGGCUUUGAAGUGGGGACGCCAGUUCUCAUGGAGCCAACCUUGAAAUACCACCCUGGCAACCUUGAGGUUCUAACUCUGGUCCGUUAUCCGGAUCGAGGACAGUGUAUGGUGGGUAGUUUGACUGGGGCGGUCUCCUCCCAAAGAGUAACGGAGGAGUACGAAGGUGCGCUCAGACCGGUCGGAAAUCGGUCGUAGAGUAUAAAGGCAAAAGCGCGCUUGACUGCGAGACAGACACGUCGAGCAGGUACGAAAGUAGGUCUUAGUGAUCCGGUGGUUCUGUAUGGAAGGGCCAUCGCUCAACGGAUAAAAGGUACUCCGGGGAUAACAGGCUGAUACCGCCCAAGAGUUCAUAUCGACGGCGGUGUUUGGCACCUCGAUGUCGGCUCAUCACAUCCUGGGGCUGAAGCCGGUCCCAAGGGUAUGGCUGUUCGCCAUUUAAAGUGGUACGCGAGCUGGGUUUAGAACGUCGUGAGACAGUUCGGUCCCUAUCUGCCGUGGACGUUUGAGAUUUGAGAGGGGCUGACCUUAGUACGAGAGGACCGGGUUGGACGAACCUCUGGUGUUCCGGUUGUCACGCCAGUGGCAUUGCCGGGUAGCUAUGUUCGGAAAAGAUAACCGCUGAAAGCAUCUAAGCGGGAAACUUGCCUCAAGAUGAGAUCUCACUGGAGCCUUGAGCUCCCUGAAGGGCCGUCGAAGACUACGACGUUGAUAGGUGGGGUGUGUAAGCGCUGUGAGGCGUUGAGCUAACCCAUACUAAUUGCCCGUGAGGCUUGACCAU
rnacentral:rRNA from 1 species